UCCCUGGUGGCUCAGAGGUUAAAGCAUCUGACUGGAAUGCGGGAGACCCGGGUUCAAUCCCUGGGUCGGGAA
rfam:Ovis aries breed Texel chromosome 3, whole genome shotgun sequence.